GAUGAAGAACGCAGCGAAAUGCGAUAAGUAAUGUGAAUUGCAGAAUUCAGUGAAUCAUCGAAUCUUUGAACGCACAUUGCGCCCUCUGGUAUUCCGGGGGGCAUGCCUGUUCGAGCGUCAUUAUAACCACUCAAGCUCUCGCUUGGUAUUGGGGCUCGCGGUUCCGCGGCCCCUAAAAUCAGUGGCGGUGCCUGUCGGCUCUACGCGUAGUAAUACUCCUCGCGAUUGAGUCCGGUAGGUCUACUUGCCAGCAACCCCCAAAUUUUACAGGUUGACCUCGGAUCAGGUAGGGAUACCCGCUGAACUUAAGCAUAUCAAUAAGCGGAGGA
rnacentral:misc_RNA from 1 species